CCUACGGGAUGCAGCAGUGGGGAAUAUUGCACAAUGGGCGCAAGCCUGAUGCAGCCAUGCCGCGUGUAUGAAGAAGGCCUUCGGGUUGUAAAGUACUUUCAGCGGGGAGGAAGGCGAUAAGGUUAAUAACCUUGUCGAUUGAGGUUACCCGCAGAAGAAGCACCGGCUAACUCCGUGCCAUCAGCCGCGGUAAUACGGAGGGUGCAAGCGUUAAUCGGAGUUACUGGGCGUAAAGCGCACGCAGGCGGUCUGUCAAGUCGGAUGUGAAAUCCCCGGGCUCAACCUGGGAACUGCAUUCGAAACUGGCAGGCUAGAGUCUUGUAGAGGGGGGUAGAAUUCCAGGUGUAGCGGUGAAAUGCGUAGAGAUCUGGAGGAAUACCGGUGGCGAAGGCGGCCCCCUGGACAAAGACUGACGCUCAGGUGCGAAAGCGUGGGGAGCAAACAGGAUUAGAUACCCUCGUAGUC
rnacentral:rRNA from 1 species